rnacentral:pre_miRNA from 1 species
UAGUUUUGUCCUAAGUCAAACUUCUCCAACUUUGACUAAGUUUAUAAAAAAAUCGAUUAAUAUCUACAAUACCAAACGUAUGCACUAAAAAGACAUUUCAUUGUUGAUUUAACUAUGUUGUAGAUGUUGGUGCAUUUGUCUAUAAACUUGGUCAAAUUUAGAGAAGUUUGACUUGGGACAAAUUAAA